rnacentral:rRNA from 1 species
AGUGAACGCUGGCGGUAGGCCUAACACAUGCAAGUCGAACGGCAGCACAGUAAGAGCUUGCUCUUACGGGUGGCGAGUGGCGGACGGGUGAGGAAUACAUCGGAAUCUACUUUUUCGUGGGGGAUAACGUAGGGAAACUUACGCUAAUACCGCAUACGACCUACGGGUGAAAGCAGGGGAUCUUCGGACCUUGCGCGAUUGAAUGAGCCGAUGUCGGAUUAGCUAGUUGGCGGGGUAAAGGCCCACCAAGGCGACGAUCCGUAGCUGGUCUGAGAGGAUGAGCAGCAACACGGAAAGUGAGACGCGGUCCAGACUCCGACGAGAGGCAGCGGUGGGGAAGAUGGGACAAGGAGGGCAAGUGUGAGACAGCCAUGCGGGGUGGGUGAAGAAGGCGUCCGGCUUGUAAAGCCCUUUUGUCAGGAAAGAAAAGCAACGGGCAGCGACUCCGCUGGUCUGACGGACCCAGAUUAAGGAGCGCCGGCUGACUUGGUG